rnacentral:lncRNA from 1 species
AGGCGGGAGGUGCCGCGAUCUAAGUGCCUAGCCCUUCCACCCACCCGCCGUCCACCUCGUCCAUCGGGGACACAGAGUGGCCAGGGCACCCCACCCUUGUCUCCGUGUACCCUAGCUCCCCAUCACUGCGCGCCCUCCAAGCUAGAGAGAUGGGACCCCAGGGGGGGUUAGAGCUGGGUGUCCCGAAAACCCAGGCUGGGGCUAUGCGCCGUCCCCCUACACUUCUGCCAGUGCCUUACUUCCUGGAGACCCACCCUGGGGUACCCCACUGCAGGGGGGUACCCCCUUUGCACUUUGACCCUCCUGAUGACGUGGGGCCCAGCACAGGGACCAAGAAGGCUGGUGGAAGUGCACUCAGACCCCAGGUGGGAGGGCUCUGGGAGUGAUGGGGUGACAGGGUGGACUGAUGGCUGGGGUCCCCCAUCUGCUAUGCGUACUUCACUGACCUAUAAACACUAAGAUGGGGUGCAAGGGCCCAGCCCCAGCUCCACAGCCCCCAUAUGCACCCACCCUGUCGCUAUCUUGGAUGGCCCGCUCUGGGAGAUGUUGGGUGUUUUAAGGUUACUGAACCUACAAAGGCCCCUCCUCCCUGACCACCCAUCUUGGCCCGUCAUACCUAGCGCUGUCAUGUCCCCUCCCCGCAGAGGCCGCAGGCCAUCACCCCAGCAGAGCCCCCAGGGCCAGGCCCCACCCACCUGCCACCUGUCCUCCCUGGGACACUUGUAAGUACAAAGCUCCCCAGCCUUUGAGGCCUCAACCCCCCACCAUCUGUCUGUCCUCAGGGACCCUCCAGUAGGGGGACCAUUGGGGACAUCACAGAAGCCACUGUCCAGAUGGGGCUCAGGCCAGUGGGUGUGGGAUGGGCCAUCUGCAGGAUAGACCUGGCAAGUCCCCUCUGAUACCCCCAAGCCAGCCAGCCGGGUCCCCCAGGGGUCAGGACAGAACCAACUAUUUACCUAACUGCAUGGUGCUUAAGGCCCCGCGACACCCAAGAGCCCCCUCCCCUGCCGGGCUGCUGUGUGCAUGACAGGUCCACCUACCUGCCCACUUCCCUCACCGCCUCUAUUAAAAAAGGAAAGAAAAAAAAAGGAUACACAAAAUAUAUAUAUAAAUAUAUAUAUAUAUCCUUACCAAAAAAAAAAAAAUCCAUUAUUUCCAAAUUUGCACGAACUUUUUACCACAACAUGUGCCUUGCUCUCCCGAGGACAAGUAUUAACUUUUAAAUAAUAUCCGCGCACACAGACGCAUGCCCUGCACGCAUAGUUACAAACAGACAAAUGAUUACAUGAAAUAAAAAAUAAAAUC